rnacentral:rRNA from 1 species
CCCUUAGAUGUUCUGGGAUGCACGCGCGUUACACUGAUUCGUUCAACGAGUUUAUGGCCUUGCCUGAUGAGGUGGGGGAAUCUUUUCAAAUCGCAUCGUGAUGGGGAUAGAGUAUUGUAACUGUUAGUCUUCAACGAGGAAUUCCUAGUAAGUACGUGUCAUCAGCUCGUACUGAUUAUGUCCCUGCCCUUUGUACACACCGCCCGUCGCUCCUACCGAUUGAGUGCUCAGGUGAAUAGUAUGGACUGCAUCAGUGUUCGGUCUCCGAAUGUUGACGCGAGAAAUUCUGUGAAUCUUAUUGCUUAGAGGAAGGAGAAGUCGUAACA